UACGUAGGUGGCGAGCGUUAUCCGGAUUUACUGGGUGUAAAGGGCGUGUAGGCGGGUUUGCAAGUCGGGUGUGAAAGAUUCGGGCUUAACCCGGAGAGGUCAUCCGAAACUGCAGAUCUUGAGUGCUGGAGAGGAUAGUGGAAUUCCUGGUGUAGCGGUAAAAUGCGUAGAGAUCAGGAGGAACACCAGUGGCGAAGGCGGCUAUCUGGACAGUAACUGACGCUGAGGCGCGAAAGCGUGGGGAGCAAACAGGAUUAGAUACCCGGGUAGUCCCU
rnacentral:rRNA from 1 species